GACGAACGCUGGCGGCGUGCUUAACACAUGCAAGUCGAACGGAAAGGCCCUGCUUUUGUGGGGUGCUCGAGUGGCGAACGGGUGAGUAACACGUGAGUAACCUGCCCUUGACUUUGGGAUAACUUCAGGAAACUGGGGCUAAUACCGGAUAGGAGCUCCUGCUGCAUGGUGGGGGUUGGAAAGUUUCGGCGGUUGGGGAUGGACUCGCGGCUUAUCAGCUUGUUGGUGGGUAGUGGCUUACCAAGGCUUUGACGGGUAGCCGGCCUGAGAGGGUGACCGGCCACAUUGGGACUGAGAUACGGCCCAGACUCCUACGGGAGGCAGCAGUGGGGAAUAUUGAAAAAUGGGCGGAAGCCUGAUGCAGCAACGCCGCGUGCGGGAUGACGGCCUUCGGGUUGUAAACCGCUUUCGCCUGUGACGAAGCGUGAGUGACGGUAAUGGGUAAAGAAGCACCGGCUAACUACGUG
rnacentral:rRNA from 1 species